rnacentral:rRNA from 1 species
GAUGAACGCUAGCGGAAGGCAUAAUACAUGCAAGUCGAACGGAUGUAGCAAUACAUUAGUGGCGCACGGGUGCGUAACGCGUAUGCAACCUACCUUCAUCAGGGGGAUAACUACCCGAAAGGGUGGCUAACACCGCAUAAUACUAUUGAGUGGCAUCACUUGAUAUUUAAAUCUGAGAAGGAUGAAGAUGGGCAUGCGUCUGAUUAGCUAGUUGGUGUGGUAACGGCGCACCAAGGCGACGAUCAGUAGGGGAACUGAGAGGUUGGUCCCCCACACUGGCACUGAGAUACGGGCCAGACUCCUACGGGAGGCAGCAGUAGGGAAUAUUGGUCAAUGGUGGGAACACUGAACCAGCCAUUCCGCGUGCAGGAAGAAGGGUCUCUGACUUGUAAACUGCUUUAGCAAGGGAAGAAAAAGCUCAUGCGUGAGACAUUGACGGUACCUUGAGAAUAAGCACCGGCUAACUACGUGCCAGCAGCCGCAGUAAAAC